rnacentral:rRNA from 1 species
GAUGAACGCUGGCGGCGUGCUUAACACAUGCAAGUCGAACGGUGAAGGCGGAGCUUGCUCUGCUGGAUCAGUGGCGAACGGGUGAGUAACACGUGAGCAGUCUGCCCCUGACUCUGGGAUAAGCGCUGGAAACGGCGUCUAAUACUGGAUACGAGCUGCGACGGCAUCUUCAGCAGCUGGAAAGAAUUUCGGUCAGGGAUGAGCUCGCGGCCUAUCAGCUUGUUGGUGAGGUAAUGGCUCACCAAGGCGUCGACGGGUAGCCGGCCUGAGAGGGUGACCGGCCACACUGGGACUGAGACACGGCCCAGACUCCUACGGGAGGCAGCAGUGGGGAAUAUUGCACAAUGGGCGAAAGCCUGAUGCAGCAACGCCGCGUGAGGGACGACGGCCUUCGGGUUGUAAACCUCUUUUAGCAGGGAAGAAGCGAAAGUGACGGUACCUGCAGAAAAAGCGCCGGCUAACUACGUG